CAUCUCUUACACUACUUUGACCUCUCUCCCUCUCUCUUUCUCCUUCUUUCUCUUUCUUUAUUAAUUAUUUUUUUAUUUAUUUUUUAAUAAUCCAUCUUCAAUCCCANNNNNNNNNNNNNNNNNNNNCUUCCUCUCUUCCUCUCCAUCUCUUACACUACUUUUGACCUCUCUCCCUCUCUCUUUCUCCUUCUUUCUCUUUCUUUAUUAAUUAUUUUUUUAUUUAUUUUUUAAUAAUCCAUCUCAAUCCCAUCCAUCCAUCUCUUAUAUUUAGAGAAUGGAUCUUCUAUUGUGCAUCACCUGGUGCGGUACAUAGCACGCACCAUCCAUCGCAUAAUGGAUGGUUGCGCAGGGCCGCACGGGGCCAUGCACUAUGCGAUGCACGUCGCCUAUGGCCACGUCAGUCAUCCAUAGUGUA
rnacentral:lncRNA from 1 species